rnacentral:rRNA from 1 species
AUUGAACGCUUUCUUCCUUCCUUACACAUGCAAGUCGAACGGCAGCACGGGUGCUUGCACCUGGUGGCGAGUGGCGAACGGGUGAGUAAUACAUCGGAACAUGUCCUGUCGUGGGGGAUAGCCCGGCGAAAGCCGGAUUAAUACCGCAUACGAACUACGGCUGAAAGCGGGGGACCUUCGGGCCUCGCGCUAUAGGGUUGGCCGAUGGCUGAUUAGCUAGUUGGUGGGGUACAGGCCUACCAAGGCGACGAUCAGUAGCUGGUCUGAGAGGACGACCAGCCACACUGGGACUGAGACACGGCCCAGACUCCUACGGGAGGCAGCAGUGGGGAAUUUUGGACAAUGGGCGAAAGCCUGAUCCAGCAAUGCCGCGUGUGUGAAGAAGGCCUUCGGGUUGUAAAGCAAUUUUGUCCGGAAAGAAAUCCUUGGCCCUAAUACGGUCGGGGGAUGACGGUACCGGAAGAAUAAGCACCGGCUAACUACGUG